rnacentral:rRNA from 1 species
AGAGUUUGAUCCUGGCUCAGGACGAACGCUGGCGGCGUGCCUAAUACAUGCAAGUCGAACGGUCUUUUCUAUGGAAGCUUGCUUCCACUGAGAAGAUAGUGGCGAACGGGUGAGUAACACGUGGGUAACCUGCCCAUAAGAGGGGGAUAACAUCCGGAAACGGGUGCUAAUACCGCAUAGUUUUCUUGAUCGCAUGAUCGAGAAAGGAAGGACGGCCUUUGUGCUGUCGCUUAUGGAUGGACCCGCGGCGUAUUAGUUAGUUGGUGAGGUAAUGGCUCACCAAGACGAUGAUACGUAGCCGACCUGAGAGGGUGAUCGGCCACAUUGGGACUGAGACACGGCCCAAACUCCUACGGGAGGCAGCAGUAGGGAAUCUUCCGCAAUGGACGAAAGUCUGACGGAGCAACGCCGCGUGAGUGAAGAAGGUUUUCGGAUCGUAAAACUCUGUUGUCAGAGAAGAACAAGUCGGAGAGUAACUGCUCCGGCCUUGACGGUAUCUGACCAGAAAGCCACGGCUAACUACGUGCCAGCAGCCGCGGUAAUACGUAGGUGGCAAGCGUUGUCCGGAUUUAUUGGGCGUAAAGCGAGCGCAGGCGGUUCCUUAAGUCUGAUGUGAAAGCCCACGGCUCAACCGUGGAAGGUCAUUGGAAACUGGGGAACUUGAGUGCAGAAGAGGAGAGUGGAAUUCCAUGUGUAGCGGUGAAAUGCGUAGAUAUAUGGAGGAACACCAGUGGCGAAGGCGACUCUCUGGUCUGUAACUGACGCUGAGGCUCGAAAGCGUGGGGAGCAAACAGGAUUAGAUACCCUGGUAGUCCACGCCGUAA